CUGCCUGAGAGACUACCUGUAUAUGAGCACCUGACUCUCCAGUAAAGACAGUGCCUCUUUGUACUUUUCAACUCAGGAGUCUCAGCUAUAUCCAGAACUGUUUCGUAAGACUCCCUGAGGAUGCCGCUCUGGCCGCAGGUCUCCAGAUCCUCCAGAGCCUGAGACCAGAAGUUCUCCUCCUGGUCCGGUUCUGUGCCGUCAUGCCCCACAGUGAACCUGAAGGAAAAGGUGAACGGUGAGCCAAUCAGAGGCGAGAAGAGCCUGAUGGGUUCACACACACUGAGGAGGCUGGUGACGGAAGGGUCAUGCUGUGGCGGGCGGUCCCAGUCGUCGUCACUCAGACCCAGAUCGGACAGCGGAUUGGCUCUCUGGCGAGUGGAGGAGGACGAUUG